rnacentral:rRNA from 1 species
GACGAACGCUGGCGGCGUGCUUAACACAUGCAAGUCGAACGGAGUGGCGAACGGGUGAGUAACACGUGGGUGACCUGCCCAUCAGAGGGGGAUAACACUUGGAAACAGGUGCUAAUACCGCAUAUUGAUGGAUGGACCCGCGGUGCAUAAGCUAGUUGGUGAGGUAACGGCUCACCAAGGCCACGAUGCAUAGCCGGCCUGAGAGGGUGGACGGCGACAUUGGGACUGAGACACGGGCCAGACUCCAACGGGAGGCAGCAGUGGGGAAUAUUGCACAAUGAGCGGAAGCCUGAUGAAGCGACGCCGCGUGGGGGAUGACGGCCUUCGGGAUGUAAACUCCUUUCGCCAUCGACGCGGUAGAUGGAGAAGAAGCACCGGCUAACUACGUGCCAGCAGCCGCGGUAAUUC